rnacentral:rRNA from 1 species
AGAGUUUGAUCCUGGCUCAGAACGAACGCUGGCGGCAAGCUUAACACAUGCAAGUCGAACGGACCGUAUACGCAGCUUGCUGCGUGUAUGGUUAGUGGCAGACGGGUGAGUAAUGCAUAGGAAUCUACCUAGUAGUAUGGGAUAGCCACUAGAAAUGGUGGGUAAUACUGUAUAAUCCCUGCGGGGGAAAGAUUUAUCGCUAUUAGAUGAGCCUAUGUCAGAUUAGCUAGUUGGUGGGGUAAUGGCCUACCAAGGCGGUGAUCUGUAGCUGGUCUGAGAGGAUGAUCAGCCACACUGGAACUGAGACACGGUCCAGACUCCUACGGGAGGCAGCAGUGGGGAAUAUUGGACAAUGGGCGCAAGCCUGAUCCAGCUAUGCCGCGUGAGUGAGGAAGGCCUUAGGGUUGUAAAACUUUU